rnacentral:rRNA from 1 species
GGUGAGGUAAAAGCUCACCAAGGCGACGAUCUGUAGCGGGUCUGAGAGGAUGAUCCGCCACACUGGAACUGAGACACGGUCCAGACUCCUACGGGAGGCAGCAGUGGGGAAUUUUGGACAAUGGGGGCAACCCUGAUCCAGCCAUGCCGCGUGAGUGAAGAAGGCCUUCGGGUUGUAAAGCUCUUUCAGCCGGGAAGAAAACGCAUGGGUUAAUACCCUGUGUGGAUGACGGUACCGGAAUAAGUAGCACCGGCUAACUACGUGCCAGCAGCCGCGGUAAUACGUAGGGUGCGAGCGUUAAUCGGAAUUACUGGGCGUAAAGCGUGCGCAGUCGGUUUUGUAAGACAGGCGUGAAAUCCCCGGGCUUAACCUGGGAACUGCGUUUGUGACUGCAAGGCUAGAGUACGGCAGAGGGGGGUGGAAUUCCACGUGUAGCAGUGAAAUGCGUAGAGAUGUGGAGGAACACCAAUGGCGAAGGCAGCCCCCUGGGUCGAUACUGACGCUCAUGCACGAAAGCGUGGGUAGCAAACAGGAUUAGAUGCCCUGGUAGUCCGCGCCCUAAACGAUGUCAACUAGGUGUUGGGAGGGUAAAACCUUUUAGUACCGGAGCUAACGCGUGAAGUUGACCGCCUGGGGAGUACGGCCGCAAGGUUAAAACUCAAAGGAAUUGACGGGGACCCGCACAAGCGGUGGAUGAUGUGGAUUAAUUCGAUGCAACGCGAAAAACCUUACCUACCCUUGACAUGCCAAGAACUUUCCAGAGAUGGAUUGGUGCCCGAAAGGGAACUUGGACACAGGUGCUGCAUGGCUGUCGUCAGCUCGUGUCGUGAGAUGUUGGGUUAAGUCCCGCAACGAGCGCAACCCUUGUCGUUAAUUGCCAUCAUUUAGUUGGGCACUUUAACGAGACUGCCGGUGACAAACCGGAGGAAGGUGGGGAUGACGUCAAGUCCUCAUGGCCCUUAUGGGUAGGGCUUCACACGUCAUACAAUGGUCGGUACAAAGGGUCGCCAAGCCGCGAGGUGGAGCCAAUCCCAGAAAGCCGAUCGUAGUCCGGAUCGCAGUCUGCAACUCGACUGCGUGAAGUCGGAAUCGCUAGUAAUCGUGGAUCAGAAUGUCACGGUGAAUACGUUCCCGGGUCUUGUACACACCGCCCGUCACACCAUGGGAGCGGGUUCCGCCAGAAGUAGGUAGCCUAACCGCAAGGAGGGCGCUUACCACGGCGG